rnacentral:rRNA from 1 species
AGAGUUUGAUCCUGGCUCAGAAUGAACGCUGGGGGCAGGCAUAACACAUGCAAGUCGAACGCGUCUCCAAAUAAUUUCGGGGACGAGUGGCGAACGGGUGAGUAAGACACGAGAAUCUACCUUUCAGAUCAGGGAAUCCCGGGUAAUCUUCUUUUCCUAGAGAAUCCUGAAUAUUCAAAGGUAACACCGCUGAGAGAUGAGCUCGUGGAGGAUUAGGUAGUUGGUGGGGUAAAGGCCUACCAAGCCCAAGAUCCUUCGUUGAUCCGAGAGGAUGGUCAACCACACUGGGAUUGAGAGACGGCCCAGACACCUUCGGGCGGCAGCAGUGAGGAAUCUUGGACAAUGGGCGAAAGCCUGAUCCAGCCAUGCCCCAUGGGGGAGGAAGGUUGUUUUGAUCGUAAACCCCUGCUUCCGGAAAGAGAUGAUGACAAGAUCCGGAAAAUAGUCCCGGCAAACUCCGUGCCAGCAGCCGCGGUAAUACGGGGGGGGCAAGCGUUGUUCGGAAUGAUUGGGCGUAAAGAGCAUGUAGGUGGUCCCAUUUCUAAACCUUUCACUUUAAAUGUGAACCCCGCUGUGAAAAGUGGGGAUUGAAAUCCCUGGGUAAACCGAGGUUGAAUGGGUGGAGAGGGGGCUUGAGGAAGGGUGAGGAGAGUGGAAUUCCCGGAGAAGAGGUAAAAUUCGGAGAGCCCGGGAGGAAGGCGGAAUGCGAAGGCAAUUCUCUACCUCUUUCCUGACACUGAGAUGCGAAAGCAUGGGGAGCGAAAGGGAUUAGAGACCCCUGCAGUCCAUGCCGUCAACGAUGAGGAUUCAUCCUGAAGGGUCCUCCCAACACACUUUUCACUAAAAAAGUACCCAAAACGUUUCUUUUAAAAUUUAAAAGAGGCGAAAGUUUUUCAAUGAAAAGAGUAGGAGAGGAGCCCCUCGGGGUUUAGCAAACGCGAUAAAUCCUCCGCCUGAGGAGUACGGCCGCAAGGCUAAAACUCAAAGGAAUAGACGGGGGCUCAUACAAGUGGUGGAACAUGUGGUUUAAUUCGAAACAACGCGCAAAACCUUACCAGUCCUUGACAAGACUUUCUAUCCCUCCCACUUAUCCGGGAGAUGUGAAAAAAGUCACAGGUGUUGCAUGGCUGUCGUCAGCUCGUGUCGUGAGAUGUCUGGUUGAUUCCUUUAACGAGCGCAACCCUUCUGGAGAGUUGUUCCAGGGAAACACUCUCUCCACACUGCCGGUGAUAUACUGGAGGAAGGAGAGGAUCACGUCAAGUCAUCAUGACCCUUAUGGGCUGGGCUACACACGUGUUACAAUGGCGGUCACAAAGGGAAGCAAUGGUGAAAGCCGGAGCAAAUCCAUAAAAGCCGUCUCAGUUCGGAUUGUUCUCUGCAACUCGAGAACAUGAAGUUGGAAUCACUAGUAAUCGUGGAUCAGCACGCCACGGUGAAUCUGUACCUGGGCCUUGUACUCCCCGCCCGUCACGCUCCGGAAAUCGAAUGGGUCGGAAACUAGUCCUAAACUGAAAGGGGAGUUGCAUAUAAAACUCUUGAAAAGGGGGAAGAGAACUCCUCAAACAGGGAAAAAGAGUGGUCAAGAACUGUUUGGUAACUGGAGCGAAGUCGUAACAAGGUAGCCGUAGGGGAACCUGCGGCUG